rnacentral:lncRNA from 1 species
GAGAUCGUCGGAGGCAAAAUCACACUAUCAAACUAUCAUUAUUGGGAAAAUUAAUUCAAAUAUUAGAAAUAUCAAGUGAGUGGCAUGUAUAGGAAGUUGGUUUGUGAUAUGUAUUUUUAUUAUGAUUUUGACCUUACGUAUCAGUCUGUAUUGAGUUAUCGUAUAUGAUCAUGAGAUGUGGUCCUUAUCCAUUAUGGUUUAUAAGUUUAAUUAAUCGUGUCAUGUCCUACGU